AGAGUUUGAUCCUGGCUCAGGAUGAACGCUGGCGGCGUGCCUAAUACAUGCAGGUCGAACGAAGCGAUUUGGGAAAUUUAUUUUUCAGAUUGACUGAGUGGCGAACGGGUGAGUAAGACAUAAGUAAUCUGCCGUAAAGACUGGGAUAACUUUGAGAAAUUAAAGCUAAGACCGGAUAGGAAUUAUUGAGGCAUCUUAAUAAUUUUAAAGGGGCUUAUGGCCUUGUUAUACGAUGAGCUUAUGGCGCAUUAGCUAGUUGGUAAGGUAAUGGCUUACCAAGGCGAUGAUGCGUAGCCGGCCUGAGAGGGUGACCGGCCACACUGGGACUGAGACACGGCCCAGACUCCUACGGGAGGCAGCAGUAGGGAAUUUUCGGCAAUGGGGGCAACCCUGACCGAGCGACGCCGCGUGAGUGAAGACGGUCUUCGGAUUGUAAAGCUCUGUUAUCAGGGAAGAAUAAGGUUAUCAGGAAAUGGAUAAUCGAUGACGGUACCUGAUCAGAAAGCCACGGCUAACUACGUGCCAGCAGCCGCGGUAAUACGUAGGUGGCGAGCGUUAUCCGGAAUUAUUGGGCGUAAAGGGUGCGUAGGCGGUUAUUUAAGUUUAAGGUUAAAGUUCAGGGCUCAACCCUGUGAUGCCUUAGAAACUGGAUAGCUAGAGUACAGGAGGGGUUAGUGGAAUUCCAUGUGUAGCGGUAAAAUGCGUAGAUAUAUGGAGGAACACCAGUGGCGAAGGCGGCUAACUGGCCUGGUACUGACGCUCAGGCACGAAAGCGUGGGGAGCAAAUAGGAUUAGAUACCCUAGUAAUCCACGCCGUAAACGAUGGAUACUAAGUGUUGGGGGUAAACUCAAUGAUGCACUAACGCCAUAAGUAUUCCGCCUGGGGAGGAUGCGGGCAAGUGUAAAACUUAAAGGAAUUGA
rnacentral:rRNA from 1 species